UGUACUCAGAAGGUUUUUAGUGUGACCUGCUCUUGGGCUCUCAGACAGCUUGGUUUAGGUCAUUCUUGAUGAUGAAGUCCAGAAUGAACAUGUUGCUUAAAGUGAUAUUGCUCUGGACACUUAUCUACAUCCAAGAAUGCAGGGGGCAGUACACAGUGACUCAGACUCCAUCAGUAUUACCUGCUGUUCCUGGACAAACAGUCACGCUGAACUGUAAAGUCAGCAGUAAUGUUUAUAACAACAACUAUCUGCACUGGUACCAUCAGGUAUCUGGAGAGCCUCCUAAACUCCUGAUUUACUCUGCUAGCACUCUCCAGUCAGGCACUCCAUCUCGAUUCAGUGGCAGUGGAUCUGGAUCUGCUUUCACUCUGACCAUCAGUGGAGUCCAGACUGAAGAUGCAGGAGAUUACUACUGUCAGAGUUUCCAUGCUACCAGUGUGUGGGUGUUCACACAGUGAUACAGAGCCGUACAAAAACCUCUCUCUGUAAGAAUACACAUGACUGCACUGCUGCAGCUGAGACUUUCAGCAGGUGUGAGACGGGUGCUCAGUAGAGUAGGACAUUACAUGUUUGUGUCUUCAGCAUCUCUGAUUACUACACUUUUUAUAAUGACAGAAAAAUACCUGCAAAAGUUUCCCCAAGUGAAAUUGAAUCAAUUGAUAUGAAUUUUGAUUGGUAGUUUAAAUACAGGAAAAAAAUAGAUACAUAUUUUUUGGCUAUGGUAAAUAUAUUUUCUAUAU